rnacentral:rRNA from 1 species
CCUACGGGUGGCAGCAGUGAGGAAUAUUGGUCAAUGGGCGCGAGCCUGAACCAGCCAAGUAGCGUGAAGGAUGACGGCCCUACGGAUUGUAAACUUCUUUUAUAGAGGAGUAAAAUGCGGCACGUGUGCCUUUUUGUAUGUACUUUAUGAAUAAGGAUCGGCUAACUCCGUGCCAGCAGCCGCGGUAAUACGGAGGAUCCGAGCGUUAUCCGGAUUUAUUGGGGUUAAAGGGAGCGUAGGCGGGUUGUUAAGUCAGAUGUGAAAGUCUGUGGCUUAACCUUAGAAUUGCAGUUGAUACUGGUAGUCUUGAGUAAGGGAGAGGUAGGUGGAAUUCGUGGUGUAGCGGUAAAAUGCGUAGAUAUCAAGAAGAAUUCUGAUUGCGAAGGCAGCCUACUAGAACGUAACUGACGCUGAUGCGCGAAAGCGUGGGGAGCAAACAGGAUUAGAUACCCCUGUAGUC